AGCGAACGCUGGCGGCAGGCCUAACACAUGCAAGUCGAACGAAGUCUUCGGACUUAGUGGCAGACGGGUGAGUAACACGUGGGAACGUGCCUUUAGGUUCGGAAUAACUCAGGGAAACUUGUGCUAAUACCAAAUGUGCCCUUCGGGGGAAAGAUUUAUCGCCUUUAGAGCGGCCCGCGUCUGAUUAGCUAGUUGGUGAGGUAAUGGCUCACCAAGGCUACGAUCAGUAGCUGGUCUGAGAGGAUGACCAGCCACAUUGGGACUGAGACACGGCCCAAACUCCUACGGGAGGCAGCAGUGGGGAAUCUUGCGCAAUGGGCGAAAGCCUGACGCAGCCAUGCCGCGUGGAUGAUGAAGGUCUUAGGAUUGUAAAAUCCUUUCACCGGUGAAGAUAAUGACUGUAGCCGGAGAAGAAGCCCCGGCUAACUUCGUGCCAGCCGCCGCGGUAACAC
rnacentral:rRNA from 1 species